GGUAGUGUGGCUGAGCAUAAAGCGAUGGAUUGUAAACCCACAGACAGAGGUUCAAGCCCUCUCUCUACCA
rnacentral:tRNA from 1 species